UGCAUUUUUUUCCAUGUUAGGGUACUGGGAUGCUAGGGGGUUCUUUUUAUUCUCUUUUCCGCUGCAUAUUAUAACUUAGAUGGAUAUGCUUCAAGAAGUUCCACCAGUACCAGGUUGUUGGGAGGAAGCUCCCUAUGGCAUCUGAUGAGCACCCCAAGAUUUACCAAAUGAAGCUCUGGGCCACCAAUGAGGUUCGCGCCAAGUCGAAGUUCUGUAUUUCCUGAGGAAGCUGAAGAAGGUCAAGAAGAGCAAUGGCCAAGUGCUUGCCAUUAAUGAGACAAUGUUGUUUUGCGGUGGGGAAGUGGUUCCUCCUCAACUCUCCUCCUGGCAAAAUCCAAUUUGUUGCCAAAGAUGUGAAGGAGGCUGCGUCAGAGGCACCCCCUCAAAACGACCAGUCGAAUUGGAGACGAAGGUUUAUGCCUCUUUGGCAAGAAGGCAAAUGCUGCAAGGAACCCAAAAAUACCAGGACUCUUCAUGCCUAACAGAAACCCAAUAGAUGACUGUUGGGAAUGUGACUCAAAUUGGCCAAACAACAGGCAGAGCUUAGCAGAUUGUGCAAUUGGGUUUUGGCCAAUAUGCUCUUGGAGGCAAAGGUGACUGAGCCUCUCUGGAUUGUGUUCCCUGGCAACAUGCUCAUCAAGCUCUCCCAAGAGCUUAUCUUCAACAGCUACAAGACCCUUGAUCGCCGUGGCGCCAAUGUCCACAUUGUGGGCGGUGGUUGCAUCACAUUGCAGUUCAUAAGCAAUGUUAUCAACCACAAUGUGCAUAUCCGCCACUGUUAUCCGUCAGGUGACGCUAAUGUGCUUUCAAGCCCACCCCACUACUGCUACGGCACAAAAUUAGACGGAUUUUGACUGGUAAAGGGUACUUUUUACUUGAUGUGGAUAACUAUCAUUCUAGCCAUGACAUUGAUUGAGGAGCCAAUGCGUUGAUUCAUGCAGUUGGAAAACUCGGGAGCUUCUUAAGGCAAUUUCCUCUUUUUCCAAAUGCUUUUCUGGUUGGUGGUGCAGAAGACUUCUUUAUUAUUGAACUUGCAGUUCAGCUUCAAAAACUGAAGGUGGAACCAGCACAUAAAACUUCUCCAGGUGGUCUUUCGUUGCUUCGGAUAGAGCGGUUUGGUUAGUGUUUUUAGUUCUGUUAAGCAAGGGGUUUAGAUGAUUACAAUAUUUGAACAUGUUGGUAAAUCCUUUUGAGUGUUUUGGCAAUUGGGUAGUUGAUAUGUUCACUGUCUAUUUUCAUCGCUUGAUACACAUUUCAUGCAAUUUUAAAACCCGCAGCAUCGCGCGGUCAUCUUUUGCUAGUAAACCCUAAAGCCUAUUUUUCUUCUUCUCAUCCUUCUUCUGCAUCUGGACCCUGAGCUCAGUAAGCUACUCGUUCUUCUCUUCAUUAUCCCUCUUCAUCUUCUGCAUCUCGUCCCUGAGCUCAGUAAGCUCUUCCUUAUGCCUCUUCAUCUGUCACAAAAAAUACGAGUUAAAUUUUUUUUUUAAUUGAAAUAAAAUGAAGUGCAAAAACCAACCUCCUCAAUAUCUUGUGACCGAUACUCGCUUAGUUUCUUUUCAAACACUCUGACUUCCUCCUUCAGCUCGGCAGACUUGGCCUGAUUCUUAAAAGAAUCCAAAGCUGCUGCUGCAGCACACCCCACCCCAAGAGUACCGACUGUAUAAACAG